rnacentral:rRNA from 1 species
CAGGGAUUCCCCUAGUAACGGCGAGUGAAGCGGGAACAGCUCAAAUUUGAAAUCUGGCUUUCGGGUCCGAAUUGUAAUUUGCAGAGGAUGCUUUUGGUUAGGUACUUUCCGAGUUCCCUGGAACGGGACGCCUUAGAGGGUGAGAGCCCCGUACGGUUGGAUACCGAGCCUCUGUAAAGCUCCUUCGACGAGUCGAGUAGUUUGGGAAUGCUGCUCUAAAUGGGAGGUAAAUUUCUUCUAARGCUAAAUACCGGCCAGAGACCGAUAGCGCACAAGUAGAGUGAUCGAAAGAUGAAAAGCACUUUGAAAAGAGGGUUAAAUAGCACGUGAAAUUGUUGAAAGGGAAGCGUUUAUGACCAGACUUUUUCCAGGCGAAUCAUCCGGUGUUCUCGCCGGUGCACUUCGUCUGGUUGAGGCCAGCAUCGGUUUUCGUGGGGGGAUAAAAGCGGUGGGAAUGUGACUCCUUCGGGAGUGUUAUAGCCCGCCGUAUAAUACCUCCUACGGGGACCGAGGUUCGCGCAUCUGCAAGGAUGCUGGCGUAAUGGU